AAAUUGAAGAGUUUGAUCAUGGCUCAGAUUGAACGCUGGCGGCAGGCCUAACACAUGCAAGUCGAACGGUAACAGGAAGCAGCUUGCUGCUUUGCUGACGAGUGGCGGACGGGUGAGUAAUGUCUGGGAAACUGCCUGAUGGAGGGGGAUAACUACUGGAAACGGUAGCUAAUACCGCAUAACGUCGCAAGACCAAAGAGGGGGACCUUCGGGCCUCUUGCCAUCGGAUGUGCCCAGAUGGGAUUAGCUAGUAGGUGGGGUAACGGCUCACCUAGGCGACGAUCCCUAGCUGGUCUGAGAGGAUGACCAGCCACACUGGAACUGAGACACGGUCCAGACUCCUACGGGAGGCAGCAGUGGGGAAUAUUGCACAAUGGGCGCAAGCCUGAUGCAGCCAUGCCGCGUGUAUGAAGAAGGCCUUCGGGUUGUAAAGUACUUUCAGCGGGGAGGAAGGGAGUAAAGUUAAUACCUUUGCUCAUUGACGUUACCCGCAGAAGAAGCACCGGCUAACUCCGUGCCAGCAGCCGCGGUAAUACGGAGGGUGCAAGCGUUAAUCGGAAUUACUGGGCGUAAAGCGCACGCAGGCGGUUUGUUAAGUCAGAUGUGAAAUCCCCGGGCUCAACCUGGGAACUGCAUCUGAUACUGGCAAGCUUGAGUCUCGUAGAGGGGGGUAGAAUUCCAGGUGUAGCGGUGAAAUGCGUAGAGAUCUGGAGGAAUACCGGUGGCGAAGGCGGCCCCCUGGACGAAGACUGACGCUCAGGUGCGAAAGCAUGGGGAGCAAACAGGAUUAGAUACCCUGGUAGUCCACGCCGUAAACGAUGUCGACUUGGAGGUUGUGCCCUUGAGGCGUGGCUUCCGGAGCUAACGCGUUAAGUCGACCGCCUGGGGAGUACGGCCGCAAGGUUAAAACUCAAAUGAAUUGACGGGGGCCCGCACAAGCGGUGGAGCAUGUGGUUUAAUUCGAUGCAACGCGAAGAACCUUACCUGGUCUUGACAUCCACGGAAGUUUUCAGAGAUGAGAAUGUGCCUUCGGGAACCGUGAGACAGGUGCUGCAUGGCUGUCGUCAGCUCGUGUUGUGAAAUGUUGGGUUAAGUCCCGCAACGAGCGCAACCCUUAUCCUUUGUUGCCAGCGGUCCGGCCGGGAACUCAAAGGAGACUGCCAGUGAUAAACUGGAGGAAGGUGGGGAUGACGUCAAGUCAUCAUGGCCCUUACGACCAGGGCUACACACGUGCUACAAUGGCGCAUACAAAGAGAAGCGACCUCGCGAGAGCAAGCGGACCUCAUAAAGUGCGUCGUAGUCCGGAUUGGAGUCUGCAACUCGACUCCAUGAAGUCGGAAUCGCUAGUAAUCGUGGAUCAGAAUGCCACGGUGAAUACGUUCCCGGGCCUUGUACACACCGCCCGUCACACCAUGGGAGUGGGUUGCAAAAGAAGUAGGUAGCUUAACCUUCGGGAGGGCGCUUACCACUUUGUGAUUCAUGACUGGGGUGAAGUCGUAACAAGGUAACCGUAGGGGAACCUGCGGUUGGAUCACCUCCUU
rnacentral:rRNA from 1 species